GAAAAAAUAAACAUAUAAAAUUUAUCUAUUUAAUAAAUGAGUCUAGCUAUACAUUUUAUCUUGAGUCUACAAUAGAUUAGACACAAAAUUCCUUAAAGCAGUUCUUGAUGCAACAUCAUCAAGUGAGUACAAACAGUGUCAUAAACUCAUUGUGUAUAUAUAUAUAUAUAUAAGAGAAGCAAUAGGCGGCAAUGCCAUUGCAAAUUGUUCUCACUAAGUUGAAAGAUUAGCAAUCUCAGAAAUAAAGAAGAUGAAGAGCCAAAUAAGAAGUUUGUUUACGAGAAUGAAGCCAUUCAUUGCAGUAACAUUCUUGCAAGUUGGUCUUGCAGGGAUGGAUAUUCUUGCCAAAGCUGCACUUAAUAGAGGCAUGAGCAAUUACGUGCUUGCUGUCUAUCGCAAUGCUGUUGCCACCCUCGUCAUUGCCCCUUUUGCAGUUUUUCUUGACAAGAAAGUAAGGCCAAAGAUGACUCGGUCAAUCUUCAUCAAGAUAAUGGUGCUCAGCUUAUUGGAGCCAGUUAUCGACCAAAACUUUUAUUUCUUAGGGAUGAAGUAUACAACGGCGACGUUUGCAGCUGCUAUAACCAAUAUUCUUCCUGCAAUUACCUUUGUAAUGGCUUGGAUUGUUAGGCUUGAGAAGGUGAAAAUAACAUCACCACACAGUCAAGCAAAGAUAGCAGGGACAAUAGCAACAGUUGCAGGAGCCAUGGUGAUGACAUUGAUGAAAGGCCCACCUGUUAAUUUGUUUUCUACAACAAAAAACGCCUACCAUGUCCAUAAACAAGCAAUAGGAGGUGUAAAUGUCCAUAACUCAAUUAAAGGAGCAAUAAUGAUCACUAUUGGGUGCUUCAGCUGGUCCUGUUUCAUGAUCCUGCAAGCAAUUACACUGAAGACAUACCCUGCUGAGCUCUCUCUCACUGCUUGGAUUUGCUUGCUUGGUACAAUUGAAGGCACCAUAGCAGCACUCAUAAUGGAAAGAGGAAAUCCUAGCGUCUGGGCUCUCAAUUGGGACACUAAAUUAGUGGCAGCUGUCUACAGUGGUGUCAUUUGCUCAGGACUUGCUUAUUACAUUCAAGGAGUAAUAAUGCAGGACAGAGGCCCUGUUUUCGUGACGGCUUUUAGCCCUCUAUGCAUGGUUGCAGUUGCUGUCAUGAGCGUCAUCAUUUUGGCAGAGCAAAUGUUCCUGGGCAGGGUAAUUGGAGCAAUCAUCAUAGUUGCAGGCCUAUAUAUUGUUGUGUGGGGUAAAAGCAAGGACUACAAUUCACCAUCUCCAACAGUUGAUGACAAAAUAAUACCAACAAAACAAACAACAGAACCAGGAAAUCAUGAGAAAGAAAACUGUGAUCAAGUUGCACAACCGAUCCAUCAGAUAGAGAUACCAUAAUUAGAUUUCAACAUCUUUUUCAGCAAAAAGAAAUGUAAUCUAUUUGUUUCUCGUAUAACUAUGAUGAGUUAAUGAUUAAAAGGAAAUGACUAUCUACAAGAACUCAACUUAGGAUUUGAUAGAGUUGAAUAGUCAUUCACCAGAUUUCAAAAUGUUUCACUAUAGCAUAGUAUUUUUGAAAACCAAAUCAUAUGGUUUCUUUAUAUAAUUUUCAACAAAUUGUAUAUAGACUUGCCCCAUAAAAUACUUGCCAACAUUACACUACCCCCAUAUAAAUGGACGAAACCCACUAAGAGGAUUACAUGCUUUACACCCCAUGAGGCUAGUCCAAGAGGAAGUGACGAACAACAAACGGAAGCAAAUGAACUACUGUUUUUUGAAUGAUUUGCAGUGGGAUGUUAUAAUGAGGUCCAAACUGUGAGAACAAAGUCCUGAGCUCAUUUACAUUUCAACAGGUAAGCAUGUCAGAAGUUAAAGGACAAAUCUUUUUUGCAAUCAGAGGAUUCUAAAUAGCAUAAUGGUAGAGUUGAAAAGAUAGAAAAUAUUAAGAAAUUCCUGAAUGUAUUUGCUAAUAGAAGGAUCCUAGGAGAAGAGAAAGAAUUAGUUAUCAAUACAUCUUUUGCCCAAAAAGAAAAUAACACAAAAGUUAGCAUAUAAUAUUGUCCACAAUGUAUUAGAACCUGUUAACAUGCCUUUUUAAAACAAAAUGAACUAGGAAAAGGAAAUAUACAGCACAUCAAUAAAAUUUCAGCAUGAUGAACUCUAAUGUUAUUUCCAUGGGUAUACAAGACAAAAUUGGUGCAGAUAAUUUUUUUACACUAAAACCAGUGGGCAAG
rnacentral:misc_RNA from 1 species